rnacentral:rRNA from 1 species
UACGGAGGGGGCUAGCGUUGUUCGGAAUUACUGGGCGUAAAGCGCACGUAGGCGGCUUUGCAAGUUAGAGGUGAAAGCCCGGGGCUCAACUCCGGAAUUGCCUUUAAAACUGCAUCGCUAGAAUUGUGGAGAGGUAAGUGGAAUUCCGAGUGUAGAGGUGAAAUUCGUAGAUAUUCGGAAGAACACCAGUGGCGAAGGCGACUUACUGGACACAUAUUGACGCUGAGGUGCGAAAGCGUGGGGAGCAA